AGCCCCGUCGCCAAGCGGUAAGGCACCUGACUCUGACUCAGGCAUCGGAGGUUCGAAUCCUUCCGGGGCUGCCA
rnacentral:tRNA from 1 species